CUAGUUAAAGUUGUUUAAAUAAGUUAAACUAAAUAAUGUUGUUUAGUUACUGACAUUGCUUUUAAUUUACUAACCAUAUAUAGGUCUACAAUUUAGAAAAUGCCGCCACAUUUGAUCAAUUUUUCAAGGAUAUUUCUUGGGGAUCAAUUACAGUUCACACAAUGUCCCAAAUGUCUUUGCUAUCGCCCUUUGUCUACCCCAAUUUUAGUUAAAUAUUUUGUAACUUUCGGCAAGCUACUUUUAGUUCGCCAAAUGAAGUUUGUGAAUCGCUGAAUGACCCUGGACUUCACCAACCUGUGCUGACUUUUGUGAAAUUUUAUUCUGUAAUUUUUGGUGAGCUCGACAUAGCUCGCCGAAUGAGUUUGGCGAUUCGCCGAACUAGUCAGUGAGUCUUUAUGCAUUUUUUUAUUUCCAACGGUGAUUUUCUGAUUGAAUUCUUUCUAACGUAUUGGUUUGUUCUGUGUUGUUUUGCAGAUAUGGCCAGACCCAAAGUUCCCGGUAGAGACUAACCACCCCGGAAGAGAGCACAGGGAAUAGUGAUUAAUAAAGGUGUUGCUCCCCCACGAGCAACACAACCUAAACUUCCUCCUAAAUGAGGGAAAGGCACAGGAAAGGGGAAGGGUCCUCCGGAUACAAAUCUGAUUGAGGACAACUCAGAUAGUAUGGGCAUCUAUGACACGCACCUCACCACUUCGGAAUCUGAUAAUGAGAAUACUUCGGGGUCUAGAUCACUAGUCUCUCUGUCUGAUCCAAAGGAUGAUCAAACUCUUCAGAGGAGGAGAGCUGAGUUGUACUCUAAUGCAUUACAUGAUCCGACCAGGAUAUCGGUUACUUCGACACCUCCUCCACCUUCAGCACAAACUGUUAAGCAGGCACCUCUAGUUCCCCGGGUACAGGCACUUCCACCUCGAUCGCUGAGCAGACUUAAAGGUUGCCGGAUUGAGGACAAUUUUGGAAGAAAAGAGGAUGUCUACAGAUGGAGUGGUGGACAGGUAUCCAGAAGUGUGGAACAUCAUCAAGUUCCACAUGUUUGAGAGAUUUACACAGCCUCGAGGCUCAUACAUACCUUCCUGGGUCCAGUAGUUUUAUACAGAGUAUGGGAAGCUGGUUCCAAAGGGGAAUAAGAAGGCCAACUUAUUUGUACCAGUGGAUCAUGUGGUGGUACGUGGAAAAAGGGUUAAAUGCAGCAACACAUACAUUAAUGAGGUUGUGGCAUGUACGACAAAUAUGAUCCACUUCUUGGUGGAUUGGAUACAAAAGAAGACCCUUGAUGACUUAAAAAGGUGGUUGGCUCCUCUAAUUUCUGACAUCACACCAUCGUGGAUUGAGCUAGGAGUUCAGAUUGAGAAGAAGAAUAUGAAUGUAGUUGCGCGGUAUUGGUUUAGAUUUAUUAGCAGCACCUUGAUGCCUUCCUAGAAGGAGUCCAUACUUCGGCAUCCUAAGGCGGCUUUGUUGCGAUCCAUUAUCGACCGCGAUAGACUAAAUCUCAGGUUGAUUAUUGAACAGAAGAUGUCCAUGAGAGCCAAGAAGAGUCAAACGUCACUUUAUUUUCCGGUGCUGAUCAUAGAGUUGUGCGGUGUGCUCAAGUGCCCUUGGUGGCGAAGACGGAUGUGGAAGUGGCGACCACUUCCUCUACUGACAUCUAGAGGAUUGAGGCCGAGUACACUAUAGACGAGGCUGAGAGGAGGAGAGCAUCAUCGGUGGACAUUUCCUUGAUUGUUGAUGUGGAGAUGCUAGAGACAGACACAACCCCUCCUACUCAGGUCGGUGAGACCUCAGCCCCCAUUGGCACAGGUGAUGCUAUUCAAGAUGGGCCAUCUAGCCCAAUAUACUGGCGUACGCGCUUCCCGGGUAGAGGUUAUUGUCCUCGGAAUAAUUGAGAGGGUCGUUGUUGCUUGGUUAGCUCCUAUCCGAGCUGAGUUGAGAGAGCACCGAGAGUUGAUCACCUCUCAUGGCCUAGCUUUGGACGCCCUCAUGAUGCGAGUGGAUAGCAGUCAGCUGAUGUCACGGCUUUGAGAGCCGAUGUUGCUAGUUUGAGACGUGAUGUGGAUGAGCUAAAAUCCAUGGAUUUUUCUAUGUUUUUCGGCACUAUAGACCUUCCCGAGGUCCCUAGUACAGAGAGGUCAGCUAUUUCUUAGACCCCUGAGGUUGCUACGACUGGAGAUGCUGCUAUAGCUGAUGAUGAUGCCGAGUCUGAUGCUCUUGAGACUGAUGAGGAGGAUCUUGGUACCCGUGAUGCAGCGGUAUAUGAUGACUUGGAGGACCUAGAGGGCGUGAUGGUACAUAUAGACAUGGAGGCCUCUCUUCGGGACACAUAAAUGGUAGGCUCCAGUGGAGAGAAGGAUAGAGAUGAGUUGGGCACUAAUGCCCAGAUUGAGAGAGUCCCGGAUGUGUAGAGUUCACCUCAAGCUUAGCAUGACAGGGGUAUCUUGACUCUCUUAUAGUUUUAUUUUGAGACUGUUUAUUUAUUUUACAUUAAGGACAAUGGUUAGCUUUGUUUGGCGGGGUGAGGUAUCUUCAUACUUGCCUCUUUUGGGUUGCUUUUGUGAAUGAUUGGUUUUUUAUAGUGUUUUCUGAAUGCUUAA